rnacentral:rRNA from 1 species
UACGUAUGGUGCAAGCGUUAUCCGGAUUUACUGGGUGUAAAGGGAGCGCAGGCGGAAGGCUAAGUCUGAUGUGAAAGCCCGGGGCUCAACCCCGGUACUGAAUUGGAAACUGGUCAUCUAGAGUGUCGGAGGGGUAAGUGGAAUUCCUAGUGUAGCGGUGAAAUGCGUAGAUAUUAGGAGGAACACCAGUGGCGAAGGCGGCUUACUGGACGAUAACUGACGCUGAGGCUCGAAAGCGUGGGGAGCAAACAGG